rnacentral:antisense_RNA from 9 species
AGUCAUGGCAGCCUACGUGGGCAGGCUUCGGCCUGGCCGGGUUCAAUGUCCUCGGUUUCUCACCCCGCGUAUGGCUGCCACCCCU